rnacentral:rRNA from 1 species
CGGACGGGUGGGUAAUGUCUGGGGAACGUGCCUGAUGGAGGGGGGUAACUACUGGAAACGGUAGCUAAUACCGCAUAACGUCGCAAGACCAAAGAGGGGGACCUUAGGGCCUCUCGCCAUCGGAUGUGCCCAGAUGGGAUUAGCUAGUAGGUGGGGUAACGGCUCACCUAGGCGACGAUCCCUAGCUGGUCUGAGAGGAUGACCAGCCACACUGGAACUGAGACACGGUCCAG